UCAUGUUUUUUUUUAAUUCAACGAUUUCCCCCAUAAUUACCUAGCCUAGUGGGUCAACAGGCAUCGUUUGAACAGGACACUAAGUCACGUAAGACAUAGAUGCCAUGUCUAGGUCUCUUAAUUAUAGCACCUCUAAUCCACAACCUGUUUACCGCAGGUCUAGACCAAGUCUUUCCAAUUUCAUCAGGGUUGUCACUAAUGAAUUUUCAAAGUGAAUCCCGGACUCAUGGUUUUAUAAGCAGCACGAUCACGAGCCCCAUGAACUUUUUUGAUAAUCUUCUACGCGGUGAGCAGUGCACUUGUGUCAUCACUACAACCUGACCUCAAUAUGACAAUAAAUUGAUUUUGAUAGGACAUUAAUUCUCAUGAUUCUGAUAAAAAUAACUACCGGAAGACUUGGUAAAACAUCCCGAUGUUUUUUUUUUUUUUAGAUGAAUGAAUAACAAAAACCUCAUACUUGGAAUUCAAUUCAAUUUAAUCACCCCUAUAGAUGAACAGGACUCGUAGCCGCGUGGCACAUGUUUAUAUUUUUCAUCAUAAUGCGAUGUCCGACCUCUAAAGCAUUUGUUUGACUCCGAGUUUCUUUUAAAAAAAUCAUAAAAGAAAAAUCCGGAUAGAAACGGGUCUUGAAAUCGGUCGUUUAUGUAAGCAUUUGUAUGAUUCAGAGUGCAUUAGUUUAGGAAAAGUGAGUAGCUCAUUACCGUAUAAAACGGAUACGAUCUUAGUUUGUAAAUCACUACUCACUAAGAUUUUCGAGUGUCCACUAUUUUUACUCGCUGUUUUUCAAAUGUACUCGCAUUUUGCGAGUAUUUCUCGCUAAUUUCGAGCCCUGGCAUUGUACUAAGUUCCAAAUCUAUCUAAAAUUGGAUAAGCCAUAUAGGGAGAAGUGUUCACAAGCUGUUUUACAUCCUCCAACCCUCUUAGAUCCACUACAACUUUUAGGAAAAUAAUUGGAUCUUCCUGUCCUGACAAUAUGCACAUCUACAAAUGGCAAUGAAGCAUUGUACAAAGUUUCAAGUCUAUCCGACAAGCCAUAUAGAAGUGUUCACAAGAUUUUGUGACAGAUCGACAGAAAGUACAAAAACAAUGUCCCCCCCCCCCCCCCCCCCCCCCCCCCCGAAAGAGGGGAGAUAUAAUUUACAAGAGGAAGCUUGCAUAUCUGUAUGUCAUAUUGAUCAGGGCAGGGCUCAAAAUAACUGACAGCCGGGAGCCCGAUGGUCCUAGGCCAGUAAAUUAUGGAUUUGGCUAGUAAUUUGUAAAGAACAUGGAUGUCCUUGAGGCAAGUUGAUUUUAAUACUUAUCAAAAUUUAUCAACUAAAAGUUUUUACAUGUAUAUUAGAUGUGCGUCAUCUGGGUUCUGAGAAAGUGGAGAUCUGCAUAUUUUUUAUCUUAACGUAGACCGAUGGAUAGAGAAGUCUUGAUUUCAUUAAUUCUUUAUCCAAUUGAUUGAUACUGAUAAUCAACUCUUCCAGAUUUUAUCCGAUAUGGUCUGGAGAAAGCUUAUAAAACACAGUUCCAACAGGUCUUUCUUCUCUUUAAAACUUUUUUCUUUUCUCAAAUGAAUUUGAUUGCAGAAGGUAAAUUAUAGUGACAGAUCUAGAGUGGUUACAUAGGAUGAAAAAUCUACAUAAGUUACUUUAAAGGACAUCAAUAAAUCCCCCAUUUCGAAAAGAAAACGAUAUCAUAUUUAAGUGAAACAUCAUCUGUGUUUUUGUAAGUGAACAGAACCACUUAUUAUAAAUUUAUUCCAAUGUGCUUCACUUAAUAAAUCAAGAUUUCAUUGUACUUAUGAAUUUUAUCACUUGUACUCUAGCACUUAUGAAUCACACUAGUGAAUGUGUAUGUACUUGCACAGGUUGCAGCUAGUAUAUAUAUGAUUUAAAUACAAAUUUUGAGAACUUUAUAUUUCUUUAUAAGGGUCAGAAGAGGGUAACCCGAAUUACCGAAAUGCCCGCCAUUUACCAAAAUGCCUCCAGAAAUUACCAAAAUGUCACCUAAAACUACCAAAAUUCCCUUCUAAAUAUUUUAUGAUUAUAGACCUCCAAUGUCACAGAAGAGGAGUCUCUUGACAGUCAGACACUGCACUGUCCAAAAUUUGAUGCAAGGGACACGACUCAUACUUGUAUCUAAGCAGUUACUUCAUUGAUCUCGUAAAAUAAAGCAAAACAUAUAUGCAAAAUACACAAGAAAAACCACAA